GACGAACGCUGGCGGCGUGCCUAAUACAUGCAAGUUGAGCGCUGAAGGUUGGUACUUGUACCAACUGGAUGAGCAGCGAACGGGUGAGUAACGCGUGGGGAAUCUGCCUUUGAGCGGGGGACAACAUUUGGAAACGAAUGCUAAUACCGCAUAAAAACUUUAAACACAAGUUUUAAGUUUGAAAGAUGCAAUUGCAUCACUCAAAGAUGAUCCCGCGUUGUAUUAGCUAGUUGGUGAGGUAAAGGCUCACCAAGGCGAUGAUACAUAGCCGACCUGAGAGGGUGAUCGGCCACAUUGGGACUGAGACACGGCCCAAACUCCUACGGGAGGCAGCAGUAGGGAAUCUUCGGCAAUUGACGAAAGUCUGACCGAGCAACGCCGCGUGAGUGAAGAAGGUUUUCGGAUCGUAAAACUCUGUUGGUAGAGAAGAACGUUGGUGAGAGUGGAAAGCUCAUCAAGUGACGGUAACUACCCAGAAAGGGACGGCUAACUACGUG
rnacentral:rRNA from 1 species